rnacentral:rRNA from 1 species
UUUGAUCCUGGCUCAGAUUGAACGCUGGCGGCAGGCCUAACACAUGCAAGUCGAACGGUAACAGGAAGCAGCUUGCUGCUUUGCUGACGAGUGGCGGACGGGUGAGUAAUGUCUGGGGAUCUGCCCGAUGGAGGGGGAUAACCACUGGAAACGGUGGCUAAUACCGCAUAACGUCGCAAGACCAAAGUGGGGGACCUUCGGGCCUCACACCAUCGGAUGAACCCAGAUGGGAUUAGCUAGUAGGUGGGGUAACGGCUCACCUAGGCGACGAUCCCUAGCUGGUCUGAGAGGAUGACCAGCCACACUGGAACUGAGACACGGUCCAGACUCCUACGGGAGGCAGCAGUGGGGAAUAUUGCACAAUGGGCGCAAGCCUGAUGCAGCCAUGCCGCGUGUAUGAAGAAGGCCUUCGGGUUGUAAAGUACUUUCAGCGGGGAGGAAGGGAUGGCGCUUAAUACGCGCCGUCAUUGACGUUACCCGCAGAAGAAGCACCGGCUAACUCCGUGCCAGCAGCCGCGGUAAUACGGAGGGUGCAAGCGUUAAUCGGAAUUACUGGGCGUAAAGCGCACGCAGGCGGUCUGUUAAGUCAGAUGUGAAAUCCCCGGGCUUAACCUGGGAACUGCAUUUGAAACUGGCAGGCUUGAGUCUCGUAGAGGGGGGUAGAAUUCCAGGUGUAGCGGUGAAAUGCGUAGAGAUCUGGAGGAAUACCGGUGGCGAAGGCGGCCCCCU